rnacentral:tRNA from 1 species
AGGCUCCGACGCACAAUUAAUGCGUAUCAAUGAGCUUGCAACUCACCAUGAACUUCACCACAGAGCC